rnacentral:lncRNA from 1 species
ACAAAGGGCUAGGAACAAGAAAUUAGGGUCUGGGAUGUAGGAUGGGUUAGUUGACUUUGGUCAACUAGUUGACCAAAAAGUCAACAUUUGACCAAAAGUCAACUUAGGUAGAAAAUUGUCAACUUGUAAUUUUUCUCUAUGUAUGGACAUUUGAUGUAAUUAUAAUGAAUGCAAUUGAUGUUUGUUCCUUAAUGAAUGGCAUUGAUUAUUUUAAA